ensembl:miRNA MIR192 microRNA 192
CACAAAGCGAUGACCUAUUAAUUGACAGCCAGUGGUUGUAAACUCUGCCUGUCAGUUCUCUAGGCCACUGCUGUGUUUCUCCC